rnacentral:rRNA from 1 species
AUUGAACGCUGGCGGCAUGCCUUACACAUGCAAGUCGAACGGCAGCACGGGAGCAAUCCUGGUGGCGAGUGGCGAACGGGUGAGUAAUAUAUCGGAACGUGCCCAGUCGUGGGGGAUAACGUAGCGAAAGCUACGCUAAUACCGCAUACGAUCUAUGGAUGAAAGCGGGGGAUCGCAAGACCUAGCGCGAUUGGAGCGGCCGAUAUCAGAUUAGGUAGUUGGUGAGGUAAAGGCUCACCAAGCCGACGAUCUGUAGCUGGUCUGAGAGGACGACCAGCUACACUGGGACUGAGACACGGCCCAGACUCCUACGGGAGGCAGCAGUGGGGAAUUUUGGACAAUGGGCGCAAGCCUGAUCCAGCAAUGCCGCGUGCAGGAUGAAGGCCUUCGGGUUGUAAACUGCUUUUGUACGGAACGAAACGGUGAGCUCUAAUACAGUUUGCUAAUGACGGUACCGUAAGAAUAAGCACCGGCUAACUACGUGCCAGCCGCCGCUGUAA